UGGGGAAUAUUGCACAAUGGGCGAAAGCCUGAUGCAGCAACGCCGCGUGAAGGAAGACGGUUUUCGGAUUGUAAACUUCUAUCAAUAGGGAAGAAAAAAAUGACGGUACCUAAAUAAGAAGCCCCGGCUAACUACGUGCCAGCAGCCGCGGUAAUACGUAGGGGGCAAGCGUUAUCCGGAAUUACUGGGUGUAAAGGGAGAGUAGGCGGCAAGGUAAGCGAUAUGUGAAAGCCUUAGGCUUAACCUGAGGAUUGCAUAACGAACUAUCUAGCUAGAGUACAGGAGAGGAAAGCGGAAUUCUUAGUGUAGCGGUGAAAUGCGUAGAUAUUAGGAAGAACACCAGUGGCGAAGGCGGCUUUCUGGACUGAAACUGACGCUGAGGCUCGAAAGCGUGGGGAGCGAACAGG
rnacentral:rRNA from 1 species